GGGAAACGGACUGAGGAGCCAGCCCCAGGCCCCGACAACGACUGGGGCA
rfam:TPA: Bos taurus chromosome 7, whole genome shotgun sequence.